rnacentral:misc_RNA from 1 species
GAGCUUUCUUAUGAACUGGCAAAUCAACUUGGAAGGCCCCUCCAGCAAGUUUGCUCAAAUUUAAUUGUGACACUGCCUGGAAAAAAAACUGCCCUUGGGCCGCAGCCGCAGUUGUAGUCAGAAACCAUAAGGGUCAACUCAUUGAUGGUAUAGCUAAGAAAAUUUUAUGCUUAAUGCCGUUUGCAGAGGAAGCUGCAGCAAUGGUGGUGGAAGCCUUGAAAUUAGCCAAAUCCAUUAGAGUCUUGUCACUGGUGUUGGAAACCGAUUCUUCCAUUUUGUUC